rnacentral:tRNA from 1 species
GCCCCUGUCGUCUAGCCCGGCCUAGGACGGAUGGUUCUCAGCCAUCAAACACCGGUUCGAAUCCGGUCAGGGGUACCA